rnacentral:tRNA from 1 species
GUCCAGGGAUGGGAAUCGAACCCACAAUGUUCCGCUUACCGGGCAGAUGCCACUAGGCUACCCUGGA